AACGUAGGUGGCGAGCGUUAUCCGGAUUUACUGGGCGUAAAGGGUGCGUAGGCGGUCGGGUAAGUCUGUUGGGAAAUCUCACAGCUUAACUGUGAAACUGCAUUGGAUACUAUCCGGCUCGAGGAAUGGAGGGGAGACUGGAAUACUUGGUGUAGCAGUGAAAUGCGUAGAUAUCAAGUGGAACACCAGUGGCGAAGGCGAGUCUCUGGACAUUUCCUGACGCUGAGGCACGAAAGCCAGGGGAGCAAACGGG
rnacentral:rRNA from 1 species